rnacentral:misc_RNA from 1 species
GUCAUCCUGAAGUGAUUAAGAGGAAAUUUGUUGACUAAAAUUAUGUGAAGAGCAUGUGCAGUUAUGCACGGCAUCUCAUACCUAGGUGAAACUCCUGAUCAGGAAUAUUGCAUCAGGAAACAGAUGACAAUCUAUUGAGAGUGAGAAAAUUGAUUUGUUUAACUUUUAUAGUACAAUUGAAUUGACUGUCAUGUACUGCAUAUAGUUGAAACAAAAUUAAAAGAUAAAUUUUGUUGUUAUUAAUGACGUCCAUCUAUCUUCUAGUUUUG